GUUGAACGCUGGCGGCAUGCUUUACACAUGCAAGUCGAACGGUAACAGGGAGCUUGCUCCGCUGACGAGUGGCGAACGGGUGAGUAAUGCGUCGGAACGUGCCGAGUAGUGGGGGAUAACGCAGCGAAAGUUGUGCUAAUACCGCAUACGUACUGAGGUAGAAAGUGGGGGACCUUCGGGCCUCACGCUAUUCGAGCGGCCGACGUCUGAUUAGCUAGUAGGUGAGGUAAAGGCUCACCUAGGCGACGAUCAGUAGCGGGUCUGAGAGGAUGAUCCGCCACACUGGGACUGAGACACGGCCCAGACUCCUACGGGAGGCAGCAGUGGGGAAUUUUGGACAAUGGGCGAAAGCCUGAUCCAGCCAUGCCGCGUGUCUGAAGAAGGCCUUCGGGUUGUAAAGGACUUUUGUCGGGGAGGAAAUCCCCAGCGCUAAUACCGCUGGGGAUGACAGUACCUGAAGAAUAAGCACCGGCUAACUACGUGCCAGCCGCCGCCGUAACAC
rnacentral:rRNA from 1 species